AGCGAGACUCUUUUGAAUAUAAUUCAUUCGUUUUGUUAUUCGUAUAAAAAUUUGGUAUUGCUUCUUAGGAUUAUUUCUUGUUGUCCAAUUUAUUGUGAUAAUUUCGUUUUGGCGUUGACAUUAAAAUUUGUAUUUGUACUCCUUGAACUAGUUAAUCAUGCCAGUAUAUUUUGGAGACUUUAUUCGUUUGUACCAUUGUUCGUAUAUUUUCGUUCACAUUCGAGAGUUAUUUUGAUCAUUAAUAUAUUGUGACAAUUAAUAAUAAUUGUAUUUGAUAAUUCGAUUUCAUUUGAAUAUGGUCAUGUAAGCCUUGUGAUUUGAACCCCCUUUUGGCUUACAUUUUGUAGUUUGAUCCUUAGGGUAUACUUGAGCUAACCACUUGUGGGGGUACCAUAGGCAUGUCCUCUUGACACAAGGGCAUGACACCUUCCGUGGCGGUGUGAUUAGUCCACGGCGUAUCCUUUUGUAUGCUCUGG
rnacentral:lncRNA from 1 species